UACGGGGGGGGGGCAAGCGUUGUUCGGAAUUACUGGGCGUAAAGAGUGCGUAGGCGGUCCGGCAAGUUCGGUGUGAAAUCUCCCGGCUUAACUGGGAGGGUGCGCCGAAGACUGUUGGGCUGGAGUGUGGGGAGAGGCAGGCGGAAUUCCUGGUGUAGCGGUGAAAUGCGUAGAUAUCAGGAGGAACACCGGUGGUGUAGGCGGCCUGCUGGACCAUAAACUGACGCUGAGGCACGAAAAGCGUGGGGGAGCAAAACAGG
rnacentral:rRNA from 1 species